GCGACAAGUGCUGAUAUUACAGAAAUCGAAGACUUAGCAUUCCAGAAACAGAAAUCCCUAUAUUAUCUAUUUUUGGAUGGAAACAAGCUAACAAAGGUUACAAAACAAAUGUUUACUGGACCCAAAGAUAUUCUCUUCAUAAGUCUUACCAAUAACCCUUUGAACAUCAUAGACCAAGGAGCAUUCAAGGAAAUGAAAGG